ACCCCUACGGGACGCAGCAGUGAGGAAUAUUGGUCAAUGGUCGGGAGACUGAACCAGCCAAGCCGCGUGAGGGAGGAAGGUACAGAGUAUCGUAAACCUCUUUUGUCAGGGAACAAAGGCGGGGACGUGUCCCCGGAUGAGUGUACCUGAAGAAAAAGCAUCGGCUAACUCCGUGCCAGCAGCCGCGGUAAUACGUAGGUGGCAAGCGUUGUCCGGAUUUAUUGGGCGUAAAGCGAGUGCAUGCGGUUCCAUUA
rnacentral:rRNA from 1 species